rnacentral:rRNA from 1 species
GAGCAGAACAGCCGACGAGGCGACAAGGGCCUCCUCCGCUGCGCCCCGGCCCCGUGAUUCUUCCGCCGCCAGCUGUGUGUUGCCUGCUGCUGCCUACUUCCGCCGCGGCGCCCCUCCAAUCGCUGAUCUGGCGUAGGAUCAAUGUCAACUAUUUCUGAUCAGAAGAAACGGACCUUAGAAGCCAUUCAACAACGGUAUGCAGCAGCUAAAGCUAAGAAGCUGAAAGAUGAACAGCCUAAGUGCCCGAAGAACAAAGAUAGUACCCCCAAGCCCAAGUUUGAUGCACGGAUUAAAGGAAAAACUCCCAAAUUCACUCCUUCUCGAACUUCUGCCCUGCUCCCUACAUUUAGAGGUUUUUAUUUUGUUCACCAUUCUCCGUUCCAUUGAUGCAGAUUUUAUAUGUCACCAGUUUUUCUCAUACUGCUGCUGCUCCUCAGCUCAAGGAAAUUCCAGUCAUCAACAAAACACUUCUGGUUCCUCAGGUGGAGAAGUCAACCCUAUAUACUCUGAGCUUUCAUUUGUUCUCCAUGAAAAUUUGUCCCAAGAUGACUAUUCGGAUCUCGACAGCACGGACAUAGUUCACAAUGUUGUAUAUGACAUAAUUCAGAAAGGUGGAGAAGCCGGAAGAAUCGCCAAGGGAUCCAAAAAGUUAAAGCUGGAUAGAGGGAUUCUUUUGGAUAACUAUGUUCAAAGGGGUCCUAUAUUAGUGGAUGCACAAUCACAGUCUUUGUUGACCCACUCAAAGCGAUCAAAAAGACACAUGUCACUGAAGCAACAUAAGAAAUGUGGGUCAUUUGAUUUACAUGAUACAUUCCGCAGGUUUGACCUCUAUAAGCCAAUACAUGAAAUGUGGAAAGAGUAUAUGUGAGAGCUUACAAAAAGCACCCCGAAAAAGCAAUUGUCUGAAAACCUCCUUUCAGCAGAUCUUCAUGGGGCCCUUAUAAUAGUGGCACAAUGCAAAGCAGCCUCAUAUCAAGGUGUAAGUGGCAUCAUGAUUCGGGACACUGCAGAGACUUUUGGAAUUAUAUCGGAGGACAACCGCUUCCGAGUUGUGCCGAAAGCUGGGUCAGUUUUCGUCCUCCAAGCUGAUUGCUGGAAGGUUACACUGAUCGGCGACAAACUGUCGCCAAAGGAGAAGUUGAAGGAAAGCCAGCGUCUGCAGCGUGCGCAAUCACUGAUCAGAUAGAGUUUCGAGCCUGUUAGACUCUGUUUUCUGACAAAUUUUGCCGAGAGGAACUGCUACAGUUUUUCUUGCUUGGUUGUUGUUUCUGUUGAUUAACGUCAGUCUAUCCCUUCAUUGCUUAGCACUUGGCAGUUCUUGUUGCUCCACGUUGUAAGCCUGUCACUCCACCCUCGGCAAAGACGCGAUAAAUUCGAACACGCUUCUUGUGCAAGCUGCAUCCUUGUAGGAUAGGAACUACCAUACCAUGAUCAAUAACAGGUCUUUAUCGGAGAUUUUUUUUA